GGGCUCCUGGCCUCCUGCUGCAGAGACCUGUCUCAGGCUGACACCCUUACUCCCUUGGGGGCAUCUGUGAGUCCUCCUGAGAUGGGGAGAUUUUGUUGUCGCCACCUCAAACCACCUCCUCUUCAUCUUGGAAGGUGGAGCAAGGGAGGGAAAGAGCUGGUGCCCAGGGGAGGCUGCGCUUCUGCCGCUGAGAGCAGGUGCCUUGGUUCUUAAACCAGGUGGUCUCUAAGCUGGCUGUGUGACCAGAGGCUUUCUCACGCACCCGUCAUGUCUCCCAACCGGUUGCUGACGGUGUGCAGUGUGAACCGUUGGCAUCUCCCCCUGCACCGCCAGGGCCUUGGACCGAGAGGUGUUGGUUAAGUGUUGAAGACUGUCAGCAAGAGAAACACCCAAGUUGGUCUGGCCCGCGCAGAAUCCCAAGGCGAGACUGGGAACCCAGACGUGCCUUCCUAGCAGGGUCUCCAGCUGACGGCCGGCCCCCACUCUGCAGCUGGGAAAACUGAGACCCUGAGAAUCAUUUCAUCCUGAGCUAGUUAGCGGGUUUGCGGAGGGCCGGAAUGAAGACAGAUCCAGCCCGGCCAUCUCACAGCCUCUUCUCUAAGCUGCCACGGACACACACGUACCCCUCCCAUUCUUGCUCCACCAGCCCUCACACACAACCACAGUCUGGCUCUUGGCUUCACAGAUCUUAAAGGAGCAGAAACUCUCCUCUUCCUGAACUUAAUCUCGAUCAGCUUGGUGGUGCCAUUUCCAAGCAACUGGAUGCUCUGAUGUUGCUUGGAGUGGAGCACUCUCUGCACCUGCACAGGACUUCAGGGUUUUCGUCUACGCCUCCUGUGACCCUCACGGUUUCCCCUUUGACAGACGAGGUCCUGCAGCUCAGAGGGGGAAACGACUUGCCCUUGUCACAUGGCCUGUACUUGGCAAAGUCCGGCCUAGAAUGGUCUCCUGACUCCUAAUCGUGUCUCUCUCUCCAGACUCUGGGUUCUGACACCGGCUCUGCUUCGAAUGAGCUCUGAGACCCGGAACACAUCACUUCAGCUGCCUGAACCUGCUUCAUAAAUGCACUGACCUGCAAAACCUCGAUGUCAUUUCAUUCAUUCCACAAGCACUGCCUCUCAGGAGGCCCUGAGCCAGGUCCUGGGGCCACGAGGAUGAAGAUUCCAGCUCUCUGCUCUCAGGGCAGAAACACAUUCAGAGCCCAGCAAGGGUGUAGAAUGGGAGACCUCACGUGGGGAGAAGAGGGCAGGAACCCGAGUCCUCUCUCAGGGGACCAAGGGAUUCC
rnacentral:lncRNA from 1 species